rnacentral:rRNA from 1 species
UACAGAGGGGGCAAGCGUUGUUCGGAAUUACUGGGCGUAAAGGGCGCGUAGGCGGCCUGCUAAGUCGAACGUGAAAUCCCUGGGCUCAACCCAGGAACUGCGUCCGAUACUGGUUGGCUUGAAUCCGGGAGAGGGAUGUGGAAUUCCAGGUGUAGCGGUGAAAUGCGCAGAUAUCAGGAAGAACACCCGUGGCGAAGGCGGUUCUCUGGGACGGUACUGACGCUGAGACGCGAAAGCGUGGGGAGCGAACAGG